GACGAACGCUGGCGGCGUGCCUAAUACAUGCAAGUAGAACGCUGAAGGAGGAGCUUGCUUCUCUGGAUGAGUUGCGAACGGGUGAGUAACGCGUAGGUAACCUGCCUGGUAGCGGGGGAUAACUAUUGGAAACGAUAGCUAAUACCGCAUAAGAGUAGAUGUUGCAUGACAUUUGCUUAAAAGGUGCAAUUGCAUCACUACCAGAUGGACCUGCGUGGUAUUAGCUAGUUGGUGGGGUAACGGCUCACCAAGGCGACGAUACAUAGCCGACCUGAGAGGGUGAUCAGCCACACUGGGACUGAGACACGGCCCAGACUCCUACGGGAGGCAGCAGUAGGGAAUCGUCGGCAAUGGACGGAAGUCUGACCGAGCAACGCCGCGGGAGGGAAGAAGGUUGUCGGAUCGUAAAGCUCUGUUGUAAGGGAAGAACGAGUGUGAGAGUGGAAAGUUCACACUGUGACGGUAUCUUACCAGAAAGGGACGGCUAACUACGUG
rnacentral:rRNA from 1 species